rnacentral:rRNA from 1 species
GGAUUUAUUGGGUUUAAAGGGAGCGUAGGUGGACAGUUAAGUCAGUUGUGAAAGUUUGCGGCUCAACCGUAAAAUUGCAGUUGAUACUGGCUGUCUUGAGUACAGUAGAGGUGGGCGGAAUUCGUGGUGUAGCGGUGAAAUGCUUAGAUAUCACGAAGAACUCCGAUUGCGAAGGCAGCUCACUGGACUGCAACUGACACUGAUGCUCGAAAGUGUGGGUAUCAAACAGGAUUAGAUACCCUGGUAGUCCACACAGUAAACGAUGAAUACUCGCUGUUUGCGAUAUACAGUAAGCGGCCAAGCGAAAGCAUUAAGUAUUCCACCUGGGGAGUACGCCGGCAACGGUGAAACUCAAAGGAAUUGACGGGGGCCCGCACAAGCGGAGGAACAUGUGGUUUAAUUCGAUGAUACGCGAGGAACCUUACCCGGGCUUAAAUUGCAUUUGAAUAUAUUGGAAACAGUAUAGCCGCAAGGCAAAUGUGAAGGUGCUGCAUGGUUGUCGUCAGCUCGUGCCGUGAGGUGUCGGCUUAAGUGCCAUAACGAGCGCAACCCUUAUCUUUAGUUACUAACAGGUCAUGCUGAGGACUCUAGAGAGACUGCCGUCGUAAGAUGUGAGGAAGGUGGGGAUGACGUCAAAUCAGCACGGCCCUUACGUCCGGGGCUACACACGUGUUACAAUGGGGGGUACAGAAGGCAGCUACCUGGUGACAGGAUGCUAAUCCCAAAAGCCUCUCUCAGUUCGGAUCGAAGUCUGCAACCCGACUUCGUGAAGCUGGAUUCGCUAGUAAUCGCGCAUCAGCCAUGGCGCGGUGAAUACGUUCCCGGGCCUUGUACACACCGCCCGUCAAGCCAUGAAAGCCGGGGGUACCUGAAGUACGUAACCGCAAGGAGCGUCCUAGGGUAAAACUGGUAAUUGGGGCUAAGUCGUAACAAGGUAGCCGUACCGGAAGGUGCGGCUG